AUUGAACGCUCGCGGCAGGCCUAACACAUGCCAGUCGAACGAGUGGCGGACGGGGGAGUACUGUCUGGGAAACUGCCCGAUGGAGGGCGAUCACUACUGGAAACGGUAGCUAAUACCGCAUUCCACCGGAUGUGCCCAGAUGGGAUUAGCUAGUCGGUGGGGUAAAGGCUCACCUAGGCGACGCUCCCUAACUGGUCUGAGAGGGUGACCAGCCACACUGGGACUGAGACACGGUCCAGACUCCUGCGGGAGGCAGCAGUGGGGGAUGUGGCGCAAGGGGCGCAAGUCUGAUGCAGCCAGGCGGCGUGUAUGAAGAAUGCCCUCGGGUUGGAAAGUACUUUCAGUGGGAAGGCGUUACCCGCAGAAGAAGCACCGGCUAAAGCCGUGCCAGCCGCCGCGGUAAUUC
rnacentral:rRNA from 1 species